rnacentral:misc_RNA from 1 species
CUGUUCGAGCGUCAUUACACCACUCAAGCCUGGCUUGGUCUUGGGCGCCGCGGUCUGCCGCGCGCCCCAAUGUCUCCGGCUGAGCGUCCGUCUCGAAGCGUCGUGGUUAAACAUUCGCUUGCAGAGCACGGAGGCCCGGGCCGUUAAACACCCCAUCACAGGUUGACCUCGGAUCAGGUAGGGAUACCCGCUGAACUUAA